CUAUUUUUCAUCAAAGCCAUAAGGACAACUUACCUAGGAUCCCAAUGACUUCCCUGCCACAUCUGACCCAUAAAGCCAGGGGCCACUCAGAAUGUGGAUUCAGUGUUGAGAAAUAAUAAGCACUGGUAAAAAAAGAUCAAACGGGCCAUAGAGGAACUGUGCUUUCAGCAGAGAUCUAUCUGCGUGUCUGCUAUAUUAAAAUGCACACACAGUAGAGGGUCCAAAUGUCACCUACUGUUUCUUCAAGAAAGUCAUGAAUGAGUUUGGAGGUUAACAGGUGAAGAAAUUGAAGAACAGA